rnacentral:rRNA from 1 species
AGCGAACGCUGGCGGCAGGCCUAACACAUGCAAGUCGAACGAACUCUUCGGAGUUAGUGGCGGACGGGUGAGUAACACGUGGGAACGUGCCUUCUGGUUCGGAAUAACUCAGGGAAACUUGUGCUAAUACCGAAUGUGCCCUUCGGGGGAAAGAUUUAUCGCCAUUAGAGCGGCCCGCGUCUGAUUAGCUAGUUGGUGAGGUAACGGCUCACCAAGGCGACGAUCAGUAGCUGGUCUGAGAGGAUGACCAGCCACACUGGGACUGAGACACGGCCCAGACUCCUACGGGAGGCAGCAGUGGGGAAUCUUGCGCAAUGGGCGAAAGCCUGACGCAGCCAUGCCGCGUGAAUGAUGAAGGUCUUAGGAUUGUAAAAUUCUUUCACCGGGGACGAUAAUGACGGUACCCGGAGAAGAAGCCCCGGCUAACUUCGUG